ACGGAGGGUGCAAGCGUUAUCCGGAUUCACUGGGUUUAAAGGGUGCGUAGGUGGGCAGAUAAGUCAGUGGUGAAAUCUCUGGGCUUAACCCGGAAACUGCCAUUGAUACUAUUUGUCUUGAAUUCUCUGGAGGUAAGCGGAAUAUGUCAUGUAGCGGUGAAAUGCUUAGAUAUGACAUAGAACACCCAUUGCGAAGGCAGCUUACUACGGAGAUAUUGACACUGAGGCACGAAAGCGUGGGGAUCAAACAGGAUUAGAUACCCUGGUAGUCCACGCCCUAAACGAUGAUUACUCGACAUUAGCGAUACUACUGUUAGUGUCUAAGCGAAAGCAUUAAGUAAUCCACCUGGGAAGUACGACCGCAAGGUUG
rnacentral:rRNA from 1 species